AUUGAACGCUGGCGGCAUGCCUUACACAUGCAAGUCGAACGGCAGCACGGGUGCUUGCACCUGGUGGCGAGUGGCGAACGGGUGAGUAAUACAUCGGAACAUGUCCUGUCGUGGGGGAUAGCCCGGCGAAAGCCGGACUAAUACCGCAUACGAUCUACGGAUGAAAGCGGGGGACCUUCGGGCCUCGCGCUAUAGGGUUGGCCGAUGGCUGAUUAGCUAGUUGGUGGGGUAAAGGCCUACCAAGGCGACGAUCAGUAGCUGGUCUGAGAGUACGACCAGCCACACUGGGACUGAGACACGGCCCAGACUCCUACGGGAGGCAGCAGUGGGGAAUUUUGGACAAUGGGCGAAAGCCUGAUCCAGCAAUGCCGCGUGUGUGAAGAAGGCCUUCGGGUUGUAAAGCACUUUUGUCCGGAAAGAAAUCCUUGGCCCUAAUACGGUCGGGGGAUGACGGUACCGGAAGAAUAAGCACCGGCUAACUACGUG
rnacentral:rRNA from 1 species